CACAGAAUGACUAAUGUCAGUGAAGGAAGUCAUGGCCAUAGGAGAGCUUUCUUAGGAGUUUCAGGAAACAAGUAAUAAACGAAUAAAGUUACUGAAAAUUUUAGCAUGAAGGCUAAUGCAAGAUUUGGGUGGUAGUUGCUAGAGAGGUGUAUUAGGUCUAUGUAUUGUGAUUUAAUCUUGUAAAGGAGUCAAAAUGUUUUCUGUAAUAAAUAUGCCAAUUGUUAUGUUAAUUCCACUCUGUCACAAACACACUCUUCUAUAUUCUGCUCUGUGACACUGGAGUUGGAACUCUGCAGCCUAUUCUCAUUUGCUAGGCAUUUGGUACAUUCUGCCAGGAGGGGGAACUAGAGAGGGAACAGGAGGCCCGAGGAAAGGAAAAGGGAUUUGCUAUUUCCUAUUUGCUUGCUGUUCACUUUGAUGUCUCCACAGUGACAAAGCUUCUCCUGGCACUGGAUGUUGGAUGAUAUGUGAAAUGAUGUUUUACUCCACUAUGAGCUUAUCUACAUCUUACUAAAGCAUCUAAGGAAUUUCUUCUUCCUCUUCAUCAGGUCAUGUCAGCCAUAUACCAAUGCACCGGACUAGUGGAAUGUGUGACAUGCUAAGACACAAAAAUCUCUACCAAUCUUGUGACAGAGAGCAGGAAAAUCAGUUUGACCUUAGGCAACAACAUGAACGUGUACUGUUGAUCCUGACAGGAAAAACCAAAUUGCCUUUAGUGUUUUUGCAGAUAUUAUAGAAGAGUAAAGCACUUUCUGGAUAACAA